AUGAAGAGAACAAGGAUUAUGAUGUCAUUUUUCAAAGACCAUGUCCGGGAGCUUCGGUCUAAGGAGAGCCUGUGGUCAUAUGAGAUUAGAGGCUGGUUCACCAAAGAAAUGAGUUUUGAACAAGACCCACUGAAGCAGAAUUUGGGCCAUACAUCAGAAGAAACGCUGAAAUGGAGCUUAGCAUAAAAGAACUGAAACACCAGCUUUUUUUUUUUCUUUUGCAGAAGCAUCUACUAGAUAAAAUUCUGAAUUUGGAGUUAAAGAAAUGUUUGAAUGCCAGUCCUUGCUCUUAGCAAUGAUGAAGCCCAUGACCUUAGGCAAACGAUUUUACCUCUUUCUACUUCUCUUUUCCCAGAUGUGAAAAGGGGAUAGUGUUUGGUCCUGUGCUGCUUGCAGAGAUGAAGAAUAGAUACGCAGUGCUUGUAGAAUAGAUACACAGUGAGCAUUUGCAAUCUUGGUUGUAGGGGCCUGAGCACUUUGGUUGCUAACACUGGUUUCUCUCCUCCCAUUAAGAUUAACAGAACAGCUAGAGUCUUGCACAGGCCCAAUCUCAAGCUUGUGUGCAAGACCUGGAGGAGAACAAUACUCCCUUUGCUUCUCACCUAGAUCUUCUCCCUAGCACAGGGAGAGGGCUAACAUCCCUGCAAUCAUUGCACUGCCCCUCCCCAAGACAGGCUGAGGUCCAGGACGCCAGCAGGUAGGGGAGCCACUCCCUAUCUGGAACCAUCUGUACGAGAUGGUCACGUGCUGAGGGACUUGCCAUUUGUCCCACUCCAAAGCAUGUCAAUUAGCAUUUACACAGAGCUUAAUCACUAAUCAACACUGUUGUAUUUCACUGGGCUAUCACAAGAACCCCAAGAGCUAUCAUCCAAGAGCUGCAUAGCACCAGGGGACCAGACAAGUAGUCCUAGGUUAGAAUUCCAGCUUAACCCGUCACCCAGUGUGUGCAAAGUAUACAGCAUCUCUAAGCCCCAAACCUCUGUCUACAACAUAAGGAUCACAAAAAGGAUCUAAUAGGGCUCUGUGAGUAGAAGGUAUGGAUUCAAGUAAAGCAUUUAGUGUAAUGCCUGGUUCAUUGCGAGCAUUUCAUAAAUGCUGGCUAUGUUUGUUUGUUUGUUUUUAUUAGAAUUUUAUUUUUUAGAGAAUUUUUAGAUUCACAGGAAAAUUCAGGGGAAGACACAUAAAUUUCCCAUAUAUCCCCAGCCCUCACCAGCCCCCAGCAAAUACACAGAGCCUCCUCCAAUAUCAACACCCCUCACCAGAGUGGUACAUUUGUUACAACUGAUGAACUCACACUGACAUAUCACAGUCACUCAAAAGUCCAUAGUUUAUAUUAUGGUCCCCUCUUAGUGUUGUGUAGUCUGUGAGUUUGGGCAAAUGACAGGUACCCAUCAUGGCAUCAUACACAGUAUUUUAAUUGCCCUAAAAAUCCUUUCUGUUCAUCCCUUGCCCCCACCUCAACCUUAACAACCAACAGAUCUUUUUACUGUCUCCAUAGUUUUGCCUUCUCCACGAUGUCAUAUAGUUGGAAUCAUACGUAGCCUUCCCAGAUUGGCUUCUUUCACUUAGUAAUAUGCAUUCAAGUUUCCUCCAUGUUUUUUUUUCAUGGAUUGGUAGCUCACUUCUUUUUAGUGUUGAAGAAUAUUCCAUAGCCUGGUGUGCCGCCUGGUUAUAUUUUUAAUGCACCUGUUGUAAUGUGCGCAUUCUUAUACAGCCAGUAAGCAAUAAAUCAGGACUUUAACCCA
rnacentral:lncRNA from 1 species